rnacentral:rRNA from 1 species
AUUGAACGCUGGCGGCAGGCCUAACACAUGCAAGUCGAACGAGUGGCGGACGGGUGAGUAAUGUCUGGGAAACUGCCUGAUGGAGGGGGAUAACUACUGGAAACGGUAGCUAAUACCGCAUACCAUCGGAUGUUCCCAGAUGGGCUUAGCUAGUAGGUGGGGUAAAGGCUCACCUAGGCGACGAUCCCUAGCUGGUCUGAGAGGCUGACCGGCAACCUUGGAACUGAGACACGGUCCAGACUCCUACGGGAGGCAGCAGUGGGGAAUAUUGCACAAUGGGCGCAAGCCUGAUGCAGCCAUGCCGCGUGUAUGAAGAAGGCUUUCGGGUUGUAAAGUACUUUCAGCGGGGAGGCGUUACCCGCAGAAGAAGCACCGGCUAACUCCGUGCCAGCAACCGCGGUAAUAC